rnacentral:rRNA from 1 species
AACGAACGCUGGCGGCGUGCCUAACACAUGCAAGUCGUGCGAGAAAGUUCCUUCGGGAGCGAGUAAAGCGGCGCACGGGUGAGUAACACGUAGGUAACCUGCCCCCCAGUCUGGAACAACUAGAGGAAACUCUAGCUAAUGCCGGAUGAGACCACGAUCCCUUCGGGGGUUGCGCCAAAGAUGGCCUCUACUUGUAAGCUAUCGCUGAGGGAUGGGCCUGCGGGCCAUUAGCUUGUUGGUGAGGUAACGGCUCACCAAGGCUGUGAUGGCUAGCUGGUCUGAGAGGAUGACCAGCCACACUGGGACUGAGACACGGCCCAGACUCCUACGGGAGGCAGCGAGUGGGGAAUAUUGCGCAAGUGGG